AUUGAACGCUGGCGGCAUGCUUUACACAUGCAAGUCGAACGGCAGCGGGGAGGAGCUUGCUUCUCUGCCGGCGAGUGGCGAACGGGUGAGUAAUACAUCGGAACGUGUCGAGAAGAGGGGGAUAACCACCCGAAAGGGUGGCUAAUACCGCAUAAAUUCUGAGGAAGAAAGCUGGGGACCUAGGAAUAGGCCUAGCGCUUUUUGAGCGGCCGAUGUCGGAUUAGCUAGUUGGUGAGGUAAAGGCUCACCAAGGCGAAGAUCUGUAGCGGGUCUGAGAGGAUGAUCCGCCACACUGGGACUGAGACACGGCCCAGACUCCUACGGGAGGCAGCAGUGGGGAAUUUUGGACAAUGGGGGCAACCCUGAUCCAGCCAUGCCGCGUGUAUGAAGAAGGCCUUAGGGUUGUAAAGUACUUUUGUUAGGGAAGAAAAGUCAGCUGUGAAUAAUGGCUGAUACUGACGGUACCUAAAGAAUAAGCACCGGCUAACUACGUGC
rnacentral:rRNA from 1 species